GGCGGCGGGAAGCUCAGCGGUGGGGCCACGCGCGGAGUGCGCGUCACUCUCCCGGCCCCUGGGAAGGUCUGAGACUUGGGCCAGCUGCGGCCCUAGCAGGGCCCUCCCCGCGCGCGGGGGGGUGAGUUCCCAGAGAGCGGGCCCCGGCGAGGGCCUUCGGGCAGGAGAGGCCGCGGGCGCGGCGGAUGCCCCCUCCCCGGGGCUUGGAAUAGACUCACGGCCGGCACGGUGAGUUCAAUGGCUGGGCCGGGGCACCCGUGCUGGCCGGGCAUCGGGCCGCGGGGCUCCGGAACCCAAUUCAGACUACUCUCCCCCGCC
rnacentral:RNase_P_RNA from 2 species